AGCAACUCACAACGUGCAUAAUUAGUAUUAACACGUGGGGACACAAAGAAACCUUGUGUAAAAUGUUGCAAAUUACAGAUAAAAAAUAUGUUUUUUACUGCUGUUUCCAAUCCAAGUUUAACUAUAAACAUCCAAGCUGCUCUAAAUUAAUUAGACAGGAAUGAUCUGUGAGAAAAAUUCUGUGUUCUCUUUGUCAGUGACCUGUACUGCAGCCAGCCAGCAGGUGGUGCUCAAGGGACUUUUGCACCUGAUUUAUUAAUGCAAGCAAGUCCAGUAUCCACCUGUGCUUUGAGCUCUGGUUGUGAUCUUUGCCAUCUCCUGAGGAAAAUAUCCAGCUGUGGAGGUGGAGGGUGAGGACGUACUUUGGAGCUGGAUCUGGUGCCGGAGCUGUUUCAGAGAAGCCAUCGUCUUUAGCCUGCUCAGAGCUGGUUUUGUACUCUUCGAGAUAUUCUGCUGGAACAUAUACGGCAGGUGAAGCACGUCAGCGAACUGACAGGACGGAGAAGAGAGGGGAAACCAAGAUGGCGGCCUCCUGCUGCUCGAACACCAGCAGCGUGGAAGGU